rnacentral:tRNA from 1 species
AUCGACUAUAGUUUAUAAAAAUAUUAGAUUGUGAUUCUAAAGAUUAAGGAUUACCCCUUAUGUCGACC